UGUAACAUCACACACUCCAGAGGCAGGUGAGGUCUCCUAUUUUAUAUCACUCAUGAUACCGUUUGUUAUCUGUUCUGUUUCUUUCCCUAUAAUAUUCCCAGCUCAUCCAUCGCAGAGUGUGGAAUUAGUCUGGCUUUGAACCAGGCUGGGUACUGAAGAAGACAAUUAUUUUUAGAGCCCUUGCCUCAUUUGUUGCUGAAGUUGAAAAGCAUAUAGCGAAUGAGACAGGAGUUUGAGGAAGUAAAAAUGAUCGCAUCGCGAAAGAAGUUAGAGAGAGAUGUCCCUGUCCUUGUUCUGUCAUGUUCCGAUGUGGCGAUAGGCAAGUUACUUCAUUCUUUUUCCCAGGUGGUUGCCAAGUUUUGUUCUUCAUUUCACGGUGCCUGAUGUCAGAUCUUCAGUCUUGUCUGCAGAAUCCCAGAAUCCAGAUGAUCAAAAUAGGUCCAGAUGUAUCUAAGAAUGGGCAUGGAGUUGUCCUUGAGCUUAGGAUAAAGGAGUAUGGAAAACUUGCCUGGCUUUAUUACCUCUAACCAAAUACCAUUCACAGUAACAAAGAUGACAUUCUGCAAAAAAUCCAGCAAGAAGAGGACACAGGAUGGGCUGGGGAGAGCACUGGAAUGGAAUUCCUACUUCACUCUUCUAUAACAUUUUCCAUCUUCAUUCUUAAAGGAUUUUUAUGAAGAUGAAUCAUUAUUUCCAUUUGCCUGUGGGAGAAACUGAGUCACCUGAAGAGGAACUGAUUUGCCACACAGCAAGUCAGUGGCAGAGCGAAGAGCAAAGAACAAGGCUCUUCAUUUCCUGACUGAUGCCCUCAUGACAUUAACUCAGUUUACAGCUCUGCCACAGUCUUCUUCCUGACCUUAGCUGAGUCAUUUGGGUUCUUUAGUCUGCUAACACUGAAGUGCAUGUUUCAUUUAAGCUUUUUUUUUAAGAUCACAACUGGCUGAAAACACUCCACUAAUACCUUGGCCAUAUACAUGGAUGGUUCAUUCUUUCUCACAGGUUCUUUGCAGGGGAGAAUUUUUUGUUCAGUGCACUGUUACAUUAGCUAAUAUUUUAUUUUUUCCUGCUGUGUUUAUUUUUUCCCAGAAAGUUUUCACAAGGACUAAUUGUAGCCAGGGGAAACCUGUGUCCGUAGAUGAUAGAAAGUGGUAAGUUAGAGGAGCCUCUGUUCGGCUGCUCAGAGGGUACAUUACCUGUGUGCUGUGGGCCCCCAGUUCUUCAGCUUUGCAAAUGCUAUUUUCCUUUUCCAUAGACAUCUGGAGCACAACUGUCUGCACUCCAGAUGAUGUCAUGGUGCAGAUGAGAGGAGAGUUCACUCCUCCACCUACGGUUCCCCACGCAGUAUGGAUGAAUAGCUGAAAAAAACACCUUCUUUCCCCUGCCCUACCUCAUCCCAUAUGCACAUAAAGCUCUUCCAAACAUUUCCUCUAGCAUUCCUCCUAAGAACACCUCUGCACUGUCCUGCAAAGCCUCAUGUGGUAUGAAGCAUCCAUUUCAGUAUUUGGCUCUAAAUUUGUUGUGUGUUUUGCUGUUACUACUUUUGCUGU